CGCCUUUUGAAUUAUAAAUAUAAAAGGUCCUGCCUGCCCAGUGACACCUGUUUCAACGGCCGCGGUAUAAUGACCGUGCAAAGGUAGCGUAAUCACUUGUCUUUUAAAUAAAGACCAGUAUGAAUGGCAAGACGAAACCUAACUGUCUCUCUAAGCUAGUCAAUAAAAUUGAUUUUCCCGUGCAGAAGCGGGAAUAAUAAUAUAAGACGAGAAGACCCUGUGGAGCUUUAAACUUAAGCUAACAAACUAUAAAUGCACUAGCACCAAGUUUUGGGUUGGGGCGACCAUGAGGUAAAACACAACCCUCAAGACGAAAACUAAGAAGGACACUUCAUAUAAAUAUUAAUAACAUAAUUGACCCAAUAAUUGAUCAACGAACCAAGUUACCCCAGGGAUAACAGCGCAAUCUACUCAAAGAGCCCUUAUCGACGAGCAGGUUUACGACCUCGAUGUUGGAUCAGGACCCCCAAAUAAUGCAACAGUUAUUAAAGGUUCGUUUGUUCAACGAUUAAAGUCCU
rnacentral:rRNA from 1 species